UUCAACCACAAUCAAAUGACAGGGUGUGGUUAUAAUUAGCAUUACUGUACAUCGGCAUAGUAAAACAUGUCGCAUGUAUCUUAAUCAAUGACCGAUUUAAUGCACCGCACCCAGCGAGCACACAAUGUUCGUGACCUGCACAGUAGCCUACAGGCUGGGUCUGGCUAACAAGCUAACAUGCUAACAUGCUCAUCCUCCAGGUGAUCUCUGCGUCCACUGAGGAACUUCUACCUUCAUGAGAUGAAUGAGGACUUUCUGCUGUUUUACACUGUUAAUCCCUGAUGUGACGGUGGACUGGCCAAGUGGACUGGUCAUACUGGGACAAGGAGGCCGAGUGGACUCCUUGUCUGCAUUGAAAAUGAAUCAGUAGAGGAGUUGAACUUGGAUCAAACUGUGGAGGACGUCGCUGUGCUAAAGACUCACAGAUCCAGGUUCAGGCAGACAACGGCUGGCACACAACAGUGAGGGAGAGCAGACCUGCUAUGGGAGAGCUGUGGGAAUGGACGAGCAAGUGGCUGUCCAGGAAAGAUGUAAUGGAUGCCGUUCUGAACCUUACAUGAUGUCACCUGAAGGAACUAAACAGCAACGGGAGAGCAGGAGAUCUACAGUAUGACACAACAUCAUAAGUCAAUGAUUCCUGUCUGCCUGCCUGCUUGUGUGCCAGUCCGCCUGCCUGCCAACAAUCUCUCUGCCGCGUCCUCGGCCAGCCACGCCGCCCAGCCGCUCUUCCAUUCCCCCUCUUCCCUCUGCCGUCUCCAGCCGUCCCCACACUCCAACCCAUCUCAGUCUACAGUCAC